ensembl:snoRNA
GGACAGUGACAAAAAUAGUUAAAUCUGAGCAUCAGAAUACCUUUCUAAUCUAGCAAAUGCAUGAUAUCUGUAGUCCUGAGA